UCUGGGGAUGGACUGUGGAGACCGCCCUUGUCCUUGACACGCACCAGGUCACAUUUGUCAGUGGUGAGAAGUGCAAUCCUUGCACAGUCCGGGCAUUUUGCGUCUUUUGCAAAGUGAACGGCCACAUUGCCCGCAAUGUAUUGUACAAUGCUCUCGGCAAACUCCGAGAGAGGCUUGUAUCCUAUAACCCAGGUGGCGUCGGCGUCGUCCUGGCUUGUGUCAGCUGUCGGGUCUUGCUGGCGCUUGUCCGACGAGCUCAAAAGGAGCGUCUCCGUGCCGUCGACCUGACAGUUGCCACGGCUCGAGGGCAGCACAUUCGCGAUGAGGCACUUCCUGUACGCCGAGCGAAAUUCGAGGGCCCACAAUGUCUCGCAGUGUGCCACUGAAGAUGUUGUCCAGGAUGGCUACCGCUGGUUGAGGUAGCUGUGCCCUGAGUUUCUUCAGCAGCGCAUUGAGUUUUUUUAUCUUCAUUCCCUUCCGGUUCGCCUUUCUUUUUGCUUGUCUUAGGAUCUUCUUGGCUUUUCGCAGCUUGCGCUUGCUGGCAGCUAGAAGCAUCCUGUCCCGUCGUGGAGACACAACUGUGUAGCUGUGGUCGCCAGAGCAGCCAUGCCUGGAGGAGUUCUGGAUGUCUCAGUGGAAAUCUGCGGGAGACAACGAGGUCGGACUGUCAAAACACCGAAACAAUGCUGUCUUUCAAUAAAGCAAAUACAUAUUUGUGCAUUUCUAA